rnacentral:rRNA from 1 species
CUCAGAUCAGACAAGGCUACCCG